AUAUCAAUAAGCGGAGGAAAAGAAACCAACAGGGAUUGCCCCAGUAGCGGCGAGUGAAGCGGCAAGAGCUCAGAUUUGAAAUCGUGUUUCGGCACGAGUUGUAGAGUGUAGGCGGGAGUCUCUGUGGAGCGCGGUGUCCAAGUCCCUUGGAACAGGGUGCCUGAGAGGGUGAGAGCCCCGUAGGGUGCUGCGCGAAGCUUUUGAGGCCCUGCUGACGAGUCGAGUUGUUUGGGAAUGCAGCUCCAAGCGGGUGGUAAAUUCCAUCUAAGGCUAAAUAUUGGCGAGAGACCGAUAGCGAACAAGUACUGUGAAGGAAAGAUGAAAAGCACUUUGAAAAGAGAGUGAAACAGCACGUGAAAUUGUUGAAAGGGAAGGGUAUUGGGCUCGACAUGGGGGGUGCGCACCGCUGUCUCUUGUAGGCGGCGCUCUGGGCGCCCUCUGGGCCAGCAUCGGUUCCUGCUGCGGGAGAAGGGGCUCCGGAAAGUGGCUCUUCAGAGUGUUAUAGCCGGGGCCAGAUGCCGCGUGUGGGGACCGAGGACUGCGGCUUCUGUCUCGGAUGCUGGCAUAACGGCGCAAUACCGCCCGUCUUGAAACACGGACCA
rnacentral:rRNA from 1 species